rnacentral:rRNA from 1 species
CGCGUGUCUGAAGAAGGCCUUCGGGUUGUAAAGGACUUUUGUCCGGGAGCAAAUGCCUGGUGUUAAUAGCAUCGGGAGCUGAGAGUACCGGAAGAAUAAGCACCGGCUAACUACGUG